CCCUUUUCUGAGUCACGGCGGUGUCUAACCAAACCCACCUUGCUGGCUGCUCUAUUUUUUUUACUCAUCCACUCUGCCUCAGAAAACCCUGUCAUGACUUAUGAAUGAAUAGUACACCCCUGACACCUAAUACCCCCAUUGGAUAAUUUAGCCACCCAAGAAACAUCACGUUCGUUUAACACGUCUUCCACUUGAGAGUGUUACUAUUCACUCUCUGCAGCAGAUUGUACUUUUCACGACAAACGCUGAUUUUCACCUGGACACAUCCUUUAUGAUCAUCAAAGGCGGUACACAGAUGGAUUGUCCGACGUGAUGGAGGAUGCAGUCAAAAUCUGUCUGCAAAAAAUGAAGUGAUUAGGUCUAUGAUUGCCUUAAAACAAUGCAGUACAAUUUUUUUUCAGCAUGAAGUUUCAGUUUCUUCAUGGCUAUGCAAACAGACGAGUUGAUGAACUACUUCUACUACUUAAUAGCAAGGUGGUCACUUACUAGAGGUAUCUGGAAGGUCUUCAUGGUGCUCAGAGGAUUUCUGAUUCCAAAACACAGGAUACUGCAGAAUCUGCAUUACGUAUGAAGAACAAAGGCCUUCAAAAUAAAUUUGUUUACAAAUCAGGUGGCCAUUGCACAGUGCCUUCAGAAGCAGAUAAAGCAAAAUGUUAUGCUGUGGAUUUAAUUAGCAUGAAAUGUGAAUGCGCCGUUUCUGAAAGGGGUAAUUUCUGCAAGCAUAUUGAGUUUGCAAAAAUGAUGUGCAAAGAACAGGGGAUUGAUAUUGAUGGAAUUCGAAAAGAAUUAGCCAGUUCACUAACUGAACAGCAUUGCUAUGAGUGGGAUGGAAAACAUUUAAUUGUACAUUGUGCUGGUAGUUUUGGAGUAGUACAUGUGCAAAACCAACAGUGUACCUGUCUUGCCAAUAGUCUUGGAGAAAUAUGUGUCUGUCUAAGACUUUCUGAGAUAAUUGGUACACAGAACCCUAACCAAGAGGUAACGGACUGCUUUGUGAAUACCACAGCAAAUUGUCAAUCACACAAUAAACAGUUGUGUGUAAAGAAGAUGAUUUCAGACUUAAAGGAGUGGUGUGACAGCAGUGAUUAUAAGGAAUCUCCAGAGUUGAAUGCUGUAGUAAAACGUGCACACCAACUAGCAUUUGGACAGUAUAGCAUGGCCAGCAAUAAAAUAAAAAUUAUAAGGCUGCAUGCUUACAGAAAACGCAUUGAAAGAGCAAGAAGCCAUGCUAUAGACAUGCAUUCAUAUCAGCUCAAAGAACCCCUUAAUCGAGCUUUAUAUACCCAUAGACCUGAUUCCAAAUUCAAAGUCUGUUCCUUUAGAAAAAGAAUAAUUGGUAGCAGAGCAAAGAAUCAGAUACUAAAAUCGAGCUGAACGUGUGCUGUUAUGAGCCCACGCCUUUAUUUUUAAAUUACAGAAUGCACACAAAACUGGACAAAGUAUAGAGGUUAAUUACAACUGUUAAGGACCUCAAAGGUCUCUUCAAGUAAGAGUGAAAUACACUUUAAAAUGUAUGCGCCAAAGUGCUGUCCAUGAGCAGCAAUCCUGAGAACAUUAUUGUGGAGUGUACAUUUUAAAGUGUUAUAAGUUGUUAGAUAAAAAAAAAAAAUCAGAUACUUUACUGAUAGUCAUACACAUUAGGCCAUAUAACAUUUUCUACAAACUACGAUAGUGGCUCUAUACAUAAACUAUUCAGUAAUUUGAUAAAAUAUAAUUAUUUAUUCACAAUCAAUAAUUCAUACUUACCAGUGACCGAAGUACACUUCCUACGCUUUCUGGGAGGCAUUUCUCUGAGAAAAAAAUAUCAGAAUGAAAUUAUGAUAAUGGCAAGCUACAGCAUAUUUUUUUUUUCAAUCACAAUUUUUUUUAAUCAGCCUGCCAGCCAUGUGCCCC